rnacentral:snoRNA from 13 species
UAUUAAAGAUGAACCUAUCCCGAACCUGAUUCCUGUAAGAUUGACAACCCUGUCGGAUCUGACUUCUGAAAU